AUGGAUGAACUGUGCCCUCCAUAUGUGGUCCAGAAGCUCCAUGGACAGUCCAUGUUGUUGAGACAAAUAUCUUCUUCUGCCACGAGAAGUCAUGUAAUCAACAAUGCACAUUAUGCGCGCAAUUUUUCUGUGACAAAAUACCAUCAGACGAAUGGAAGUAUUGGGCGUUUGCCUCGCAAUACACCAUCCCCGAUCCGUGCCCCCGCACCCGAAGAGAAGGGUUUUUCUGGAUUCAUGAUUGAUUUUCUAAUGGGUGGAGUUUCUGCUGCCGUCUCCAAAACGGCGGCUGCUCCGAUUGAGCGUGUUAAGCUCUUGAUUCAGAACCAGGAUGAAAUGAUCAAGAGUGGUAGGCUUUCUCAUCCUUACAAAAGUAUCGGCGAUUGCUUCACCCGCACAAUAAAAGAUGAGGGUGUGGUUGCACUCUGGAGGGGAAACACGGCCAAUGUUAUCCGUUAUUUCCCGACUCAGGCCUUGAACUUUGCCUUCAAGGACCACUUUAAGCGCAUGUUCAACUUUAGAAAGGACAAGGAUGGGUACUGGAAGUGGUUCUUCGGCAACAUAGCUUCCGGAGGGGCCGCCGGUGCUUCUUCUCUGUUGUUUGUGUAUUCUCUGGAUUACGCUCGUACUCGUCUCGCCAAUGAUGCCAAGGCUGCAAAGGUGGGUGGCCAGAGGCAGUUCGACGGCAUCGUAGAUGUUUAUCGCAAGACCCUCGCCAGCGACGGUGUCCGCGGCUUGUACCGUGGCUUCAACGUCUCCUGUGUGGGCAUCAUCGUUUAUCGAGGUCUUUACUUCGGAAUGUACGACUCCCUCAAGCCAGCGGUUCUUGUUGGUUCUCUUGAGGAUAACUUGCUUGCCAGUUUCUUGCUUGGCUGGGGUGUAACGAUGGGUGCUGGGCUCGCCUCGUAUCCCAUUGAUACCGUGCGCCGCCGUAUGAUGAUGACAUCCGGUGAGUCCGUGAAGUAUAAGAACUCCAUGGAUGCUUUCAGGAAGAUCAUCGCCGAGGAGGGCGCCAAGUCCCUCUUCAAGGGUGCUGGCGCCAACAUCCUUCGUGCCGUUGCGGGUGCUGGUGUCCUUGCUGUGUAUGACAAGCUCCAGGUGGUCGUCUUUGGCAAGAAGUAUGGAUCCGGUGGUGGCUAA
rnacentral:rRNA from 1 species